rnacentral:rRNA from 1 species
GAUGAACGCUGGCGGCGUGCCUAAUACAUGCAAGUCGAGCGAGGUUCUUCGGAACCUAGCGGCGGACGGGUGAGUAACACGUGGGUAACCUGCCUGUAAGACCGGGAUAACUUCGGGAAACCGAAGCUAAUACCGGAUAAUUUCGAGCAUCGCAUGAUGCUUGAUGGAAAGACGGUUUCGGCUGUCACUUACAGAUGGACCCGCGUCGCAUUAGCUAGUUGGUGAGGUAACGGCUCACCAAGGCGACGAUGCGUAGCCGACCUGAGAGGGUGAUCGGCCACACUGGGACUGAGACACGGCCCAGACUCCUACGGGAGGCAGCAGUAGGGAAUCUUCGGCAAUGGGCGAAAGCCUGACCGAGCAACGCCGCGUGAGCGAUGAAGGCCUUCGGGUCGUAAAGCUCUGUUGUUAAGGAAGAACAAGUACGAGAGUAACUGCUCGUACCUUGACGGUACUUAACGAGAAAGCCACGGCUAACUACGUGCCAGCAGCCGCCGCAGUAA